rnacentral:lncRNA from 1 species
CUUUGUUGUCUUUUUGGUCUUCGCAUCCUGUAAUUUUUCCAAAAAUGACAAGAAAAACACCUAUCAUGAAUGCUCCAAAUAUAUUCACUGAUGGGUCAAAUAAUGGUACAGCAGCAGUAGUUACCCCUGAUCAAACUUUUACAUUUUUAGUACCCAAACAAUCAGCUCAAAAGGUAGAGCUUAAUGCAGUUUUACAAGCUUUUGUGAUGUUUAAAGAUUCUGUAUUUAAUUUAUUUUCUGAUAGUCAGUAUGUAGUUAAUGCUAUAGUAUCUCUUGAAGAUGCUGGUAGGAUUUCCCCUUCUUCUACUGUUUUCUCUUUGCUUUCCACUAUACAAAGUCUAAUCUGGGACAGAAAAGAUCCAUUCUUUAUAGGACAUAUCAGGGCACAUACAGGAUUGCCUGGAGCCCUUAGUUUGGGCAAUGAUUUAGCAGAUAAAACUACACAUGACAUACAUAUUUUCUCUACACUAGAAGAAGCUAUAAAUUUUCAUAAAAAGUUCCAUGUCAAUGCUAAUACUUUACAAAAGCGUUUUAAAAUAACUAAGGAACAAGCUAGACAAAUAAUAAAACAAUGUCAAAAUUGUGUGACCUUUUUACCACAAGUUAAUCUUGGAGUCAAUCCUAGAGGAUUGAUACCUAACCAUAUUUGGCAGAUGGACGUCACACACUUGCCAGAAUUUGGAAAAUUAAAAUAUUUGCAUGUUACAGUUGAUACUUCUUCUGGAUUUUUGAUGGGCUCCCUUCAUGCCGGAGAAAAAACUAAAGAUGUUAUAGCUCAUUGCUUACAAAACUUUGCCACUGUGGGUGUUCCAAAACAGUUAAAAACAGAUAAUGGCCCUGGCUAUACUUCUACCUAUUUUAAACAAUUUUGCUCAUCAUUUGGCAUUACUCAUAUAACAGGAAUCCCAUACAAUCCACAGGGACAAGGCAUAGUUGAAAGAGCUCAUCAAACUAUUAAAAUGUACUUAUUAAAGCAAAAAGAAGGAAUUGGGAAGGGGUAUAUAUUCCCCAAAGAUAAACUUAAAAUAACCCUUUUUACUCUAAACUUUUUAAAUUUGGAUUCAUCAGGACUUAGUGCUGCGGAAAGGCAUAUGUGUCCAAAAAAUGUGCAUAAGCCCAAGGUACUUUGGAAGGAUAUUCUAACAGGACAAUGGAAAGGUCCUGACCCAGUAAUUGUCUGGAGUCGGGGGUCUGUUUGUGUGUUUCCACAGGGAGAACAGCAGCCGAUUUGGAUUCCAGAGAGAUUAACCAAGGUCCUGACCCAGUGAUUGUCUGGAGUCGGGGGUCUGUUUAUGUGUUUCCACAGGGAGAACAGCAGCCGAUUUGGAUUCCAGAAAGAUUAACUAAAGCGAUUUCUACAGACCAAAAAGAAGAUGAUUUGGCUCAAAUCCAUAACAACUGAUAUCCAAAACUCCAGUUUGGCUAUUCUUACAUCUGCAACAGAACCAGGAUGCUUUUUUCAAUAUCUAUUUUAUUAUUGCCCUUUGCCAUAUCAUGAAGUUCUAUUUUGUUUUUUGAGCUCAUACAGACCUAGGUUAAUGUUUUGCUGAUCAGUUCUAUUUUUUGACUAUAGAGUUUUUAAACAUUGCAAUGGAGAUUUCACCUGUAAAAAGUUAUAAGGCCUUUACUAUAAUGUUAUGUGUUGUAUGUAUUAUAUUAUGUGUGCACACUUGUGUUUUGUGUUAUAUGUUUGAAUGUACGUAUGUCCAUAUAUCAUAUAUGAUGAGCGCUCAUGAUAAAAUGGAUCCAAAUAUUUUUUUUUCACGUGAUUUAUAUGGUUUAAUUUAAAUUGGGUAAACAACUGUUGAGGAUUGUUUUAAUAUGUAAACAAAAAAGAAGGUUAACAGAUCUGUUUGUUUACUUUCACCUUUCCUUUUCAUUAUAUUUAAUAAUUCUCUUAAAGAUAAUGUAAAUUGUUAAGAAANGUCAGCUCAUCGGAUAACGGGUAAGGACCAUAUGUACUAUUGGACAACCUAAGGCAGGCACAGUCCCUAAGCCACAUGCUUGUUGUUUAAACAGAGAGGGGGAGAUGUUGAGAGCCACAGCCGAAGGGGCCCCAGCAAACUUUCAGACUGCCAGCUGAUGAUUGGCUCACAGCACCCCAGCAACAUCUAGCUGAUUGGCUCCUGUGCGGUGAUGCUCAUUGGGCUGUUUCCCUGCCCUUUCAGACCACGGAGCUGCUCACUGGGGGACUUUUUUGGCUCCGCCUACGCGACCCAGCCAAUCGGCCUCAAGAGCAGGAGGAUUAUGGGAGGUGGAGAGGCUUGUGGUUGAGAGAGAGGCUUGUGGUUGAGAGAGAGGCUUGUGGGAAGCCGGUGGUGCCAGAUUGCGGCAACUUCAGGAGCCACUUGUCAAAAGAAACGAACUUUAUUUUUAGAACCACACACGCCAAACAAAACAGCUCCUCAGGAAAAACCCUCAGAGCCCAACUGCCAUCACCGGCUUCCCACAAGCCUCUCUCACCACCACAAGCCUCUCCACCUCCCACAAUCCUCCUGCUCUUGAGGCCGAUUGGCUGGGUCGUGUGGGCGGAGCCAAAAAAGUCCCCCAGUGAGCAGCUCCGUGGUCUGAAAGGGCAGGGAAACAGCCCAAUGAGCAUCACUGCAGAGGAGCCAAUCAGCUGGAUGUUGCUGAGGCCUCUGUGAGCCAAUCAUCAGCUGGCAGUCUGAAAGGGCGGGGAAACAGCCCAAUGAGCAUCACCACACAGGAGCCAAUCAGCUAGAUGUUGCUGGGGCCAUGUGAGCCAAUCAUCAGCUGGCAGUCUGAAAGUUUGCUGGGGCCCCUUCUGACUGUGGAGUUUUUAAGCAUUGCAAUGGGGAUUUCACCUGUGAAAAGCUAUAAGGCCUUUACUAUUAUAUGUUGUAUGUAUUGUGUUAUAUGUGCACACUUGCAUUUUGUGUUGUAUGUCUGUAUGUGCGUAUGUCCAUAUAUCAUAUAUUAGGAGUGCUCCUGAAAAAAUGGAUCCAAAUAUUUUUUUAUUAUUCACAUGAUUUAAAUGGUUUAAUUUAAAUUGGGUAAAGAGCUGUUGAGGAUUGUUUUAAAAUGUGAACAAAAAAGGAGGUUAACAGAUGUUUGUUUACUUUCACCUUUCCUUUUCAUUAUAUCUAAUUCUAUUCAGGAUACUAAAUUGUUUAGAAAAUUGCUUUCUCUUAGUGCCUGCUGGAAUGUUACAUAAUUUUUUUUUUAAGCCAUCACUGCCAGAAUUCCUAUCUUCAUCCCAGUGCCGGUGAAGACAAAGAUAAAACCAAACAACAGCUUCUGCGAUAGCUAUCACAACAAACUACAUAAACUGAUGCAUCAAUGAAUGGUGUAACUCAACAGGUGAUGCUCAAUCAAGGAGUUGAUUUACUUUGGGAGGAAAGGGACAUAUUAAUAGAUUGCUCUGCUUUGAACUACUUGCAAAACUUGCCUGGAUUGUGUAUCACUUGUAUGCAUUGUGUAUUAUCUGUCGGUGCAGCGAAUUGUGGUAGUGCCGGGGUAUCUUUGCUGAUGGUGUCAUCGAUGGUACAAUUUUUCCAAAAGGAGCUGUCAAUGGCUUAAUAUCCUGGCAUUUUGUAUCCUCCCCUUUCUGCUUAUAGCAGGUUGUUUAUGGUGUUUGUGUAAAAACCACUAUCCACAAGUAUGGCUAAAUGCUGGUCCGGUAGCCAAUAACGGGUAAAAUCCAAUUGCAAUGGUACCAACCUAAGACAGGAGGCUGACGCCUUGAGGCCAGCUCAUCCAAUGACGGGUAAGAACCAUAUGUAGUAUUGGACAACCUAAGACAGGCACGGUCCCUAAGCCACAUGCUUGUUGUUUAAUGAAACAGAAGGGGGGAGAUGUUGAGAACCGCAGCCGAGUCAAGAUGGUGCCUGGCAUUUUGCCAGAAGGAGCAGUUCCUGCUGCAUUGGGUGCCCGCUAUUUUUGAGCUCUCGUGGAGUUCCUAGAAAGUUUGUGUGGGUGGAGUUCGAGGGUUGAAUUCCGGUUGAGUGCUGGAAAAGUUCCCGAAGUUCUGGUUGGAGCUCUCGGGGAGUUCCUGAAGAGUUCGCGUGGGCAGCGUGUAGCAUGGGUUCUAAAAAUAAAGUUCGUUCUUGCUUGAAUCUGCAAGUGGCUCAUGAUUUGUGCCCAGCCAGACUGCGGCAAGUGAGGAACUCCUGAUAUUAGGAGGCAGAGCCACCCAACCUGGAGAGGUAGCCAUGUGUCCUUGUUGUUCAAAAGACGUAAUUUUUGUAAUAAACUCUUUAUAAUAAGACUGUGUUGUCCUAUGUUUACACACACACACACACACACACAAAUAAAUAAAUAAAUAAAUAAAUAUAUAUAUACCAUUUAAAACUGCUGUAUUUUUAAGUCAGUGAAAUCAUUCCCAAAACAUUGUCAGAACUUAGUGAAGCUCUUAAAACUCUGGCUCUGGUUUCUUCAUCUGUAAAAUAGAUAACCAUAGGCUUGGGCAAUCUCUAAGUUCAUUAACAUUAUAGAUGACCCUAUUUUACUUUUCCUAAACCCCAAACAUGAUAUUGGUUGAUAUUUUAAGCACAGUUGCUUUUCAGGUUGCAAGGGAAGGAGAAGAUAUUCCCUAAAUCUGUCUAGGAGCCACAGAAAUCAAACUGCUUUUCUGUUUCUAAGAUCUCCUAAUUCAGAUUAGAAUUCCACCUAAAAUUGUCUGUGACUACAAAAUGUCUUACCCUUUUUUAAGCAUCCUAAAAACAUACCUAUGGAACAUAGGAAAGAAGAAAAAACAAAAGAGAAGAAAGAAACAUUUCUUCCCUCUUUCCCCAAAGUACACAGGAAUCCAAGGAAACUAAUGAAGCAGGCUCCAUGGUAGAACUUUUAGUGUGUUAUUCUAACAGUUAU